UACGAGGGUGCAAGCGUUAUCCGGAUUCACUGGGUUUAAAGGGUGCGUAGGUGGGCAGUUAAGUCAGUGGUGAAAUCUCCGGGCUCAACCCGGAAACUGCCAUUGAUACUAUCUGUCUUGAAUAUCGUGGAGGUAAGCGGAAUAUGUCAUGUAGCGGUGAAAUGCUUAGAUAUGACAUAGAACACCAAUUGCGAAGGCAGCUUACUACCCGAAUAUUGACACUGAGGCACGAAAGCGUGGGGAUCAAACAGG
rnacentral:rRNA from 1 species